rnacentral:misc_RNA from 1 species
UUUCCGUAGGUGAACCUGCGGAAGGAUCAUUCAUAAUAAGUGUUUUAUGCCACUUUUCUAAAUCCAUAUCCACCUUGUGUGCAAUGUCAGGGUUGGUCUCUUUUGAUCAGACCCAAACAUCAACUAUUAUCUCAACUCUUUGUCUGAAAAAUAUUAUGAAUAAAACAAUUCAAAAUACAACUUUCAACAACGGAUCUCUUGGCUCUC